AUACGGAGGAUGCGAGCGUUAUCCGGAUUUAUUGGGUUUAAAGGGUGCGCAGGCGGGCGGUUAAGUCGGGGGUGAAAGGCUCGGGCUCAACCGGAGCAGUGCCGUUGAUACUGGUUGUCUUGAAUGCGGUCAAGGGCGGCGGAAUGUGGCGUGUAGCGGUGGAAUGCAUAGAUAUGCCACAGAACACCGAUAGCGAAGCCUGCUGGCCGGGCCUGCAUUGUCGCUCAGGCACGAAAGCGUGGGGAUCGAACAGGAUUAGAUACCCUGGGAGUCCACGCUGUAAACUAUGGACACUCGUUGUCGGCGACAGACAGUCGGCGGCCAAGCGAAAGUGAUAAGUGUCCCACCUGGGGAGUACGGUCGCAAGGCUGAAACUCAAAUGAAUUGCCGGGG
rnacentral:rRNA from 1 species